CUUCCUCUGGAGAUGAUGAAAAGUGUCUAUUUGCCAUUAUUGUUGACUGAAAUGGUGGUGCACGUGUAUAUUCACCAUCAGAAGGAAGGGAAAAGUCACCUCCAGCCCCAUACAAGGAGGGCAGGCAAAUGCCCAUGCCUCCAAGGACACCAUCUUUCAGAUACAUCCGUUGGUGUUAGACCAGUGCCAAGAGAACACCACACUGUGUUGAUAACACACGCCUUGAGAACCGCCGAGAAGGAGUGAAAAGAGGGAGAAAAAAAAGAUCUGCUUUUGAUGGACUUAAUCUAAGCCCUGCUGAAAGAUGUGAUCGAAUCCCAGUGCUGAGCAUGCCUGCAUCCGUCACCAUCUUCUCACGUUUCAAACCUUUGGUUUUGGGAUGGGCUCUGCCGAGCUGUCUGCCUUCAGCACACCGCCCCAAGCUGCACUAAGACCUCAUUGUGCUCGGGGCUGUAGAAAUCCAGGAUAAAAACAACAGCCCUUGCCCCGAAGGUGAUUUUUGCAGAGGCUGAGCAACGCUUGCAGCUCCAUCAGCUCUCCACCAAGAGCCUGUGGAUGGAUGAGGAGAAGUGGGAGGAAGCGCUCCGUUGAUGUUAGCAUGAUGGGAACAACAACAAUCUGGGCUGCUGUCACGUUUUGUAUUAUCUAUAAGGCACCACAGUGGUGGAGAGCUUCAAGGAGGGGGCUGGAGAGAUUUUGCAGAUGUUUGAGGGGACCCUUUGUAGAGGGAGGAGGAGCCCGGUGGGAAUGGGGAGGUUCCUGUAAGGGAGCAAGGCAGGGAUGGAGGAGGGCUUGUGGUGGAUCUGGGGGUCACCCCAAGGACAGAGGAGGGUGGGCUCUGAUAUUCCACCAAGAGAGGAAGAGCUGGAAAUGAGAGGAUGAGCCCAGCACAGGGAAUAGAACGCUGCUACAAGUGAGGGGAAGCAGUAGCCUUGGCAUAGCUCAUCUGGAAGUGUCUUAGUGAACACCAUGCACAUUGUGUUGGAACUUAGAAAUAUUGCUUUUGUCAGAGGUGGCCUGGAGAGCUGAGGGUCUCAUUGCUGAGAUGUUGAGCUCACUGCUCCCAGAAAUGGGUGUGGGGGAACUGUGGUGAAAUGAAGGGGCCUCACCAUGCUCCUACAGGACCGACUUUUACACAAACCUGUGAGUGUGCAAGCAGAAACAUGGAUUGGUUUUCAUGAUUCUGCAUGUAGAUCAUUAUAGUUAUCUCCCACCUUAACUUGGAGAUUGCUAUGCAUGUAGACAGAGAAGAAACACUGCCAUCUGCUAACUUUGCCUGGUCCUUCCCUGGACGUAUUACAGUUUGUCUGAGUUUUCUUGAGAUAUAACCACUUUCAUCUAAAUUUCUUGCUUUACCCACAAAGCACACAACUGGGAUUCGCCAGGAAUGGAAGACCUGAAAGCUGCAGAUGAACUGCAGUCAAACCAAAGGCAUUCACAGCUCCUGGCUGAACAAAAGGUGGUUUGAGCUGUGAGAGUUCGGAUGUUUUGAAAGGCGAAAUAUGGU